rnacentral:rRNA from 1 species
UACGUAGGGUGCGAGCGUUGUCCGGAAUUAUUGGGCGUAAAGAGCUCGUAGGCGGUUUGUCGCGUCUGCUGUGAAAACUGGAGGCUCAACCUCCAGCCUGCAGUGGGUACGGGCAGACUAGAGUGCGGUAGGGGAGAUUGGAAUUCCUGGUGUAGCGGUGGAAUGCGCAGAUAUCAGGAGGAACACCGAUGGCGAAGGCAGAUCUCUGGGCCGUAACUGACGCUGAGGAGCGAAAGCUAGGGGAGCAAACAGG